UUAUUCCAAGAAAAUAAAGAGAGAAAAAGAAGGAAAAGAUUGAGGUCAGAUGAGUUUCCAAUCAUCUGCUGAAGCUCCCAGAGAGGAGAACAGGGACACACACACAGGACAGCACACACCAUUAUAAAGGGGAGAUGAUUACUUACACAAAACACUUCUUUUUGUGUCAACAAUAAAGGAGGUAAAGGGGAUGGAAAGUAAUUAAAAGUAUAUAUGAUUUUCAAGGAGCAUAGACCUAUUUUCUCUACCUGAUCUCAAAAAAAAUCACCCAGCUGAGAGACUUCAAUAAAUUUAUCUUGAUUUCACCUGAGUUCAACGCACUCCAAAAUCUGUUUGGAUUAUUUGGAAUCAAGUGCUAAAUCAAAUGGAUCAAAACUGUCAUCAGAUUGCACAAAACA